UUUAUUGGAGAGUUUGAUCCUGGCUCAGGAUGAACGCUGGCGGCGUGCCUAAUACAUGCAAGUCGAGCGGAUGGAUUAAGAGCUUGCUCUUAUGAAGUUAGCGGCGGACGGGUGAGUAACACGUGGGUAACCUGCCCAUAAGACUGGGAUAACUCCGGGAAACCGGGGCUAAUACCGGAUAACAUUUUGAACCGCAUGGUUCGAAAUUGAAAGGCGGCUUCGGCUGUCACUUAUGGAUGGACCCGCGUCGCAUUA
rnacentral:rRNA from 1 species